GACACAGCCAUCAGCAUUCCUGAGCCCUGCCAGCCUGCACUGCUGACUCACAAGGCAGCCUUGAGUGAGUCACUCAUUGCCAGAUGCUUCCACCUGACCUUGUCAAAGUGCUGCAAACAAGGAAGCAAAACAGACUCACCUUUGGCAACUCUGGCAAACAAGUUUUAUCAUGUCGUAUUCGAGCUUCCCCCACACCACCAGAGACAACAACAAUGAAACAUACAAACGAAAGAAAA